GGGUUGUGAGGUUAAGCGACUAAGCGUACACGGUGGAUGCCCUGGCAGUCAGAGGCGAUGAAGGACGUGCUAAUCUGCGAUAAGCGUCGGUAAGGUGAUAUGAACCGUUAUAACCGGCGAUUUCCGAAUGGGGAAACCCAGUGUGUUUCGACACACUAUCAUUAACUGAAUCCAUAGGUUAAUGAGGCGAACCGGGGGAACUGAAACAUCUAAGUACCCCGAGGAAAAGAAAUCAACCGAGAUUCCCCCAGUAGCGGCGAGCGAACGGGGAGCAGCCCAGAGCCUGAAUCAGUGUGUGUGUUAGUGGAAGCGUCUGGAAAGGCGUGCGAUACAGGGUGACAGCCCCGUACACAAAAAUGCACAUAUUGUGAGCUCGAUGAGUAGGGCGGGACACGUGGUAUCCUGUCUGAAUAUGGGGGGACCAUCCUCCAAGGCUAAAUACUCCUGACUGACCGAUAGUGAACCAGUACCGUGAGGGAAAGGCGAAAAGAACCCCGGCGAGGGGAGUGAAAAAGAACCUGAAACCGUGUACGUACAAGCAGUGGGAGCCUCUUUUAUGGGGUGACUGCGUACCUUUUGUAUAAUGGGUCAGCGACUUAUAUUCUGUAGCAAGGUUAACCGAAUAGGGGAGCCGAAGGGAAACCGAGUCUUAACUGGGCGUUAAGUUGCAGGGUAUAGACCCGAAACCCGGUGAUCUAGCCAUGGGCAGGUUGAAGGUUGGGUAACACUAACUGGAGGACCGAACCGACUAAUGUUGAAAAAUUAGCGGAUGACUUGUGGCUGGGGGUGAAAGGCCAAUCAAACCGGGAGAUAGCUGGUUCUCCCCGAAAGCUAUUUAGGUAGCGCCUCGUGAAUUCAUCUCCGGGGGUAGAGCACUGUUUCGGCAAGGGGGUCAUCCCGACUUACCAACCCGAUGCAAACUGCGAAUACCGGAGAAUGUUAUCACGGGAGACACACGGCGGGUGCUAACGUCCGUCGUGAAGAGGGAAACAACCCAGACCGCCAGCUAAGGUCCCAAAGUCAUGGUUAAGUGGGAAACGAUGUGGGAAGGCCCAGACAGCCAGGAUGUUGGCUUAGAAGCAGCCAUCAUUUAAAGAAAGCGUAAUAGCUCACUGGUCGAGUCGGCCUGCGCGGAAGAUGUAACGGGGCUAAACCAUGCACCGAAGCUGCGGCAGCGACGCUUAUGCGUUGUUGGGUAGGGGAGCGUUCUGUAAGCCUGUGAAGGUGUGCUGUGAGGCAUGCUGGAGGUAUCAGAAGUGCGAAUGCUGACAUAAGUAACGAUAAAGCGGGUGAAAAGCCCGCUCGCCGGAAGACCAAGGGUUCCUGUCCAACGUUAAUCGGGGCAGGGUGAGUCGACCCCUAAGGCGAGGCCGAAAGGCGUAGUCGAUGGGAAACAGGUUAAUAUUCCUGUACUUGGUGUUACUGCGAAGGGGGGACGGAGAAGGCUAUGUUGGCCGGGCGACGGUUGUCCCGGUUUAAGCGUGUAGGCUGGUUUUCCAGGCAAAUCCGGAAAAUCAAGGCUGAGGCGUGAUGACGAGGCACUACGGUGCUGAAGCAACAAAUGCCCUGCUUCCAGGAAAAGCCUCUAAGCAUCAGGUAACAUCAAAUCGUACCCCAAACCGACACAGGUGGUCAGGUAGAGAAUACCAAGGCGCUUGAGAGAACUCGGGUGAAGGAACUAGGCAAAAUGGUGCCGUAACUUCGGGAGAAGGCACGCUGAUAUGUAGGUGAAGUCCCUUGCGGAUGGAGCUGAAAUCAGUCGAAGAUACCAGCUGGCUGCAACUGUUUAUUAAAAACACAGCACUGUGCAAACACGAAAGUGGACGUAUACGGUGUGACGCCUGCCCGGUGCCGGAAGGUUAAUUGAUGGGGUCAGCGCAAGCGAAGCUCUUGAUCGAAGCCCCGGUAAACGGCGGCCGUAACUAUAACGGUCCUAAGGUAGCGAAAUUCCUUGUCGGGUAAGUUCCGACCUGCACGAAUGGCGUAAUGAUGGCCAGGCUGUCUCCACCCGAGACUCAGUGAAAUUGAACUCGCUGUGAAGAUGCAGUGUACCCGCGGCAAGACGGAAAGACCCCGUGAACCUUUACUAUAGCUUGACACUGAACAUUGAGCCUUGAUGUGUAGGAUAGGUGGGAGGCUUUGAAGUGUGGACGCCAGUCUGCAUGGAGCCGACCUUGAAAUACCACCCUUUAAUGUUUGAUGUUCUAACGUGGACCCGUGAUCCGGGUUGCGGACAGUGUCUGGUGGGUAGUUUGACUGGGGCGGUCUCCUCCUAAAGAGUAACGGAGGAGCACGAAGGUUGGCUAAUCCUGGUCGGACAUCAGGAGGUUAGUGCAAUGGCAUAAGCCAGCUUGACUGCGAGCGUGACGGCGCGAGCAGGUGCGAAAGCAGGUCAUAGUGAUCCGGUGGUUCUGAAUGGAAGGGCCAUCGCUCAACGGAUAAAAGGUACUCCGGGGAUAACAGGCUGAUACCGCCCAAGAGUUCAUAUCGACGGCGGUGUUUGGCACCUCGAUGUCGGCUCAUCACAUCCUGGGGCUGAAGUAGGUCCCAAGGGUAUGGCUGUUCGCCAUUUAAAGUGGUACGCGAGCUGGGUUUAGAACGUCGUGAGACAGUUCGGUCCCUAUCUGCCGUGGGCGCUGGAGAACUGAGGGGGGCUGCUCCUAGUACGAGAGGACCGGAGUGGACGCAUCACUGGUGUUCGGGUUGUCAUGCCAAUGGCACUGCCCGGUAGCUAAAUGCGGAAGAGAUAAGUGCUGAAAGCAUCUAAGCACGAAACUUGCCCCGAGAUGAGUUCUCCCUGACCCUUUAAGGGUCCUGAAGGAACGUUGAAGACGACGACGUUGAUAGGCCGGGUGUGUAAGCGCAGCGAUGCGUUGAGCUAACCGGUACUAAUGAACCGUGAGGCUUAACCUUACAACGCCGAAGGUGUUU
rnacentral:rRNA from 1 species